AAAUUGUCCUCCGAGGCCUGCCAUGCGUCACGUGAACGCUCGCACCAGCGCUCGGCACGCGCCCUCGGAGAGCAAAGGACGCCCUCCGCAGUGCCCGUCACCGUUUCCGCGCCCGGUGCGGUCCAAAAAAGAUCACGGGCGUCUUCUGAGCGAUACCUCGUCGAAGGCGCUGUUCGCUGCACUAUGAAGAGGGCGCCUAUCCGUUCGAUGGAGGAUUUCUGGUACAUUAUAUCGUCUCCAAGGAAACACGUAUCGGAAGGAAGAUCCAAGCUGGAGAGCGAUUCGGGAACGUUACUAUCCACCCACGGACGCUUCCCAGCCUUUUUGGACAGGACUGUGCUCCGGGCUUCAGCUUCUCCCUGCACACUUCGAGCGUAAGAGGCUCCUAACAAAGUCGGAUCACGUCAACUGCUCGGGUCUCGUCUUCAGAACAGCAUAUCGUCGGAUACUGAUGGCAGCGUUGGAAUCUCGUUUCACGAAGUCCAUGCCUGCUGUGCCGCUGAUUGUACUCACCACUGCAAGGAGUCCUCGAAGUCGUGCCCUCCGUUCAACCGAAGUCUUGUCAUCAUCCCGUCGUCCAGGCACGAUUUCUCGCCUAUAUCCCCUCAUCACCAUCUUCUUCUUCAUUCGCUUGUCUUUGCUCGAGUAACAUCGAGGAGAGGAUUUUUUCAUUGUUUGCCGGCAGCCGGUGAUGACAAAUCUCUAGGAUUCCUGAUUUCCGUGUGCAUACCUCUUCCAUGGUUUUAUAUUCUUUUUAGAUGAACGCACUUUGAAUGCAUCUGGUACAAAUCGCUAAAAAGCAUUUGAUGACACACGGCUGGGGAUGGAACGCAAUUGAGGUGAAAGACUAAAACAAGGUGCAUGCGCUCGUACCGAAUGCGUGCAUCCACCUAUGAGUCAUAUAGCUUAGACGAUUCGAGACAGAAACGCACGCGGAGAACCCACCUACCAUCUGGCAUACAAUUGAUAGUUGCAUACGUCUUGACGGGGACUGUACCUGCGCUCUUUUACUGUACCAGAUUGAGUUCCUGGACAGCAAAUGCGAAGCAGACGAAUAUAGCUAGCGCUACGCGAAAACAUCUGUCAACCUUUACGUCGAAUCUGCGAGAGGCUUGACAACAUCGGUAUUCAGCUCUUAGAAUGAAAAUGGAAAGCGCGCAGAUUUUUUAUACUGGCGGAAAGCAACAGAUCUGCAACCGCACACAUAACUAAUCCUGUGAUUGCACAUCCAAAAAAAGGACGACCACUUAUAUCGGGCACGAGCCAUCGCACUAGACAUGCAGUGAAUUCAGCGCAAGAUAUGAUGCCUCGCGACCAUCUGAGCACAGCAGUAAAGGAUCGAAGUGAACGGAGUAUGUCACAGCGACACACUCUGGAACAGAUCUAUCCCUUACGCCAUAGAGAAAACACUUGCCCAAGGUUAAUGGCACACAUUAAAGUUUGAGGAAGGGCAUUGGCCUAGUUCAGGGUUGCGGCAGCAAUCGCACAUCCGGGGUGACUCUGGUUCAAAGCACCGAUCUUGCACCAUCAAAGGAGCUGGAGCAUAUAAAUGAAUCUUUGACGGUCCUUUUCCGGGCCCAUGAUCCCGCAAGAAGCCGCUAUGAACAGUACGUAGUACGCUCGCGAAGCCAAGAAAAGUAUUCAUGAAGAUGCUGGAGAGUUCUCAGCGAUAUUCAAGGGGAUGCGAAUGCUUGGCACGCCUAAUACUGUUGGUCGUCUCUUCUUUUGUCGACUAGGAACGCCUCUGCGGUUAUCCCUUGAGAGUCCGUCUCCAGCAAGGCCUACCGCAUUCGGAUGACGAACUCCGUGAGCUCUGCCAACAGGAGAGGUUGCCGAAGAGCGCGAAAAGAUUCGAUCGUUGUCCAGGAUCUUCCGGGUUCGCGGAUGCGAAGCUGCGGAACCUCGUGCGCUUGCAUCAGCUCCAUCUCGCAAACGCGAUCCUUUGCGCAUAAGUGUUUCCCAGCCGCGGGCAACGUUUCCAUGUAUCCAAGUAUCCUCCAAGUAGGAGGUUUCCAUAUCAUAAAU